UUGGUGUGAAUUGCAGAAUCCCGUGAACCAUCGAGUCUUUGAACGCAAGUUGCGCCCGAAGCCAUUAGGCCGAGGGCACGUCUGCCUGGGUGUCACGC
rnacentral:rRNA from 1 species